CUCACAAUGACCCAAGCUCCUGUUUGUUGAUUGUGAUGAAAUGCAUGCUGAGGCACAUGCCUUGGGAGCUAAGUGGCAGCUAUACUUCACUACUAUGGCAGUAAAGAUGACUAUAAAGACUGGCGGGGGAUGGAUCCUUUCAAAUGUACCUGAGCUGGGAUGCCCAGCUUGUGGAACGCACAGCAGGAGGUGAGCAGUGGCCAAAGGAACAUCUGAAGGAACACCUGAUGAGGCUGCACCCUUGGCGGAAAGAACACCUGACAUGGCUGAAAGCUUGGUGGAAAAACCACCUGAUGAGGCUGCACCCUUGGUGGAGGGAACAGCUGACAAAAUUCAAUGUUUGGGGAAAGCAACAUCUGGAAAGUUUGAACAGUCAGCAGAAGAAACACCUAAGAAAAUUAUGAGGACUGCAAAAGAAACAUCUAAGAAAUUUGCAUGGCCAGCAAAAGAAAGACCUAGGAAGAUCACAUGGGAGGAAAAAUAAACAUCUGUAAAGACUGAAUGCGUGGCAGGAGUAAUACCUAAUAAAACUGAAGUUUUGGAAAAAGGAACAUCUAAGAUGCUCACGUGUCCUACAAAAGAAACAUCUACAAAAGCAAGUACAAAUGUGGAUGUGAGUUCUGUAGAGUCUAUAUUCAGACAGAUUCAACUAGCCUAUCAAUAUUCUUGGGUGCAGUUCCUUCUCAUGAAAGAGCAAGGGAACUUAAAAAAUAUCACUGUGAACAACUUACAGCAAAAAUAAAACAAAUGAAAAAUAAGUUUUGGGUACUACAAAAGGAACUAUCAGAAGCAAAAAUAAAAUUGCAGUAAGUGAAUCAAAAGGUUAAAUGGGAACAAGAGCUCUGCAGUGUGAGCUUGGAAUGAAGUUGAUAAUAGUGAGACCUUGUUGGUACAAGACUAUGUAACACAACCUGCACUUCUCAACAAAAAAUUGCUUUUCUGACUUCUGCACUCAGUGAGAUGACAAUUGUAGUUCUCUGGGGAAGUAAACUCAUAGGAUCACAAGCCCCUAUCCCAGCGUCUAUGCGCUCAAUGGCUGUUGUGAACAUAAACCUGAGCCCAUUGUCCCAGCAGCAGAAAGAAAUCAGAGAUCAUCAAACCCAAGAGAGUCUAGAUUUUCUCCCGUUACUUUCCAGAAGUUUUGCAGUUGUCUAUUUGACAUUUACGUCUGUGAUUCAUUUUAACUUUGGUGAGGGGGUAAGAUCUGAUUCAUUUUUUUUUUUAC
rnacentral:lncRNA from 1 species